rnacentral:rRNA from 1 species
UACGAAGGGGGCUAGCGUUGCUCGGAAUCACUGGGCGUAAAGGGUGCGUAGGCGGGUCUUUUAAGUCAGGGGUGAAAUCCUGGAGCUCAACUCCAGAACUGCCUUUGAUACUGAAGAUCUUGAGUUCGGGAGAGGUGAGUGGAACUGCGAGUGUAGAGGUGAAAUUCGUAGAUAUUCGCAAGAACACCAGUGGCGAAGGCGGCUAUCUGGACGGUUUCUGACACUAAGACUCGAAAGCGUGGGGAGCAAACAGG